rnacentral:lncRNA from 10 species
GUGCGUCAGAGUGAGCCCGGAUGGGGCGGCGGGCUUCGGGAGCGCCCGGGCUGAUCCGAGCCGAGCGGGCCGUAUCUCCUUGUCGGCGCCGCUGAUUCCCGGCUCUGCGGAGGCCUCUAGGCAGCCGCGCAGCUUCCGUGUUUGCUGCGCCCGCACUGCGAUUUACAACCCUGAAGAAUCUCCCUAUCCCUAUUUUGUCCCCCUGCAGUAAUAAAUCCCAUUAUGGAGAUCUCGAAACUUUAUAAAGGGAUAUAGUUUGAAUUCUAUGGAGUGUAAUUUUGUGUAUGAAUUAUAUUUUUAAAACAUUGAAGAGUUUUCAGAAAGAAGAAUGUCUACAUAUUCAACUUUCCCCGCCGGGGUGCCUGUCUCAGAAAGGAGUCUUGCUCGUGCUGGUUUUUAUUAUACUGGUGUGAAUGACAAGGUCAAAUGCUUCUGUUGUGGCCUGAUGCUGGAUAACUGGAAACUAGGAGACAGUCCUAUUCAAAAGCAUAAACAGCUAUAUCCUAGCUGUAGCUUUAUUCAGAAUCUGGUUUCAGCUAGUCUGGGAUCCACCUCUAAGAAU